rnacentral:rRNA from 1 species
AUUGAACGCUGGCGGCAUGCCUUACACAUGCAAGUCGAACGGCAGCAUGGGUGCUUGCACCUGAUGGCGAGUGGCGAACGGGUGAGUAAUGCAUCGGAACGUACCCGGAAGUGGGGGAUAACGUAGCGAAAGUUACGCUAAUACCGCAUAUUCUGUGAGCAGGAAAGCGGGGGAUCGCAAGACCUCGCGCUUCCGGAGCGGCCGAUGUCGGAUUAGCUAGUUGGCGGGGUAAAGGCCCACCAAGGCAACGAUCCGUAGCGGGUCUGAGAGGACGACCAGCCACACUGGAACUGAGACACGGUCCAGACUCCUACGGGAGGCAGCAGUGGGGAAUUUUGGACAAUGGGCGCAAGCCUGAUCCAGCAAUGCCGCGUGCAGGAUGAAGGCCUUCGGGUUGUAAACUGCUUUUGUACGGAACGAAAAGGCUCUGGUUAAUACCUGGGGCUCAUGACGGUACCGUAAGAAUAAGCACCGGCUAACUACGUGCCAGCAGCCGG